GUACCUCCUUUCAAUCCUGCCCCUAUUACUUUGUUAUCGUCUUCUACCUGGGUCUGGGUUGUAAUUAACACAUAGAUCUCUCUCUAGUCAUCACAACACACUUCCUACCUUCUUCAUGACUAGUUCAUGCUCUUCUCUAUUUCCUGGAGGUAAGCAUCUCUGGGCCCUUGUACUUGCUAGAGGAUGUUAUUUGAGAUUUAUUAAAGUGUUUUUCAAGUUAGGCAUAUAGUUAAAAAAUAAGUCUUUUAUAAUACAAAACUACUUUAUAGUGCAGUUCGAUUUUAAAAAAAAAGACUUCUAGAUAGCCACCAUAAGAAUUUAUAUAUUUAUUUUUUCAGUUUUUCCUUUUUGCCCCCUUUCUCUUCUUCAUUUGUAUUUUUACCAUGUAGUCCAGGCUUCAUUUGUAUUUCUCACCAUGUAGUCCAGGCUGACCCUGCUUCAGCCUCUUGAGUGCUGCGAUCCUGGCAUGUGCUCCCAUGGCCAGCUCUUCUCAGGUCCUUGGGGACUUUUCACUUGCAUGCCUGCCUCUUUGAAGGGGGUCUUUUCAAAAAUGACCAAUUGCUUCAACUUAUCUGUACUGAAAAACUCAACAUAAACUGCAGAUGGAUUUCAAAAGCCAUCACGAUAGACUCUGGGGAGAACGGUCCCCACCGUCAGAAGCUGGCUCAGACAUUUUAUUCUCACAAAUGGCAUCCUCAAAACACAGUUCCUGUGACCAGCCAUAGAAGGAGCCACUAGGGCCUCCAGACAAUUAAUUUGGAUGGGAAUUGACUUCCUUGCUAAGGGAAAGUCAUAUUUUAAAGAGGGAGUGUAAUUACUGCUCCAACUAGCAUAGUAGGAAAUGUGUUCUUGCCAGAAAACAGAGAAGAGAGCUUUCCUCUAGAAAUGAAGAUGGAAUGGGUCCUUCCAGAGUUCUCCUGAGCAAGGAUGGCUCUUUCAUUCCUACAUAGAUUUUCUUAUGUGGCUUGUUCUCAGUGUGUUAUCUUAUAGCAUGGUAUAAAACCAGCCUAAAACUGCCCACAGUAGAUCUCUUUUCACAAAGGCUUGGCAUUAAAACAGAUUGAAAGGGCCCUGGGAUAGUUUUUAAAGUACUUGGAAAGCUGGGUGUGGUGGCACAUGCCACAUGUGGUGGCACUCAAAGGAGUCAAGACAUUGAGGCAGUCACACUGCCGCUUCCCUGCCUGCCUGGGCCAGAGUCAGACCGGGCCUCAAAACAAAAAGUUUCCAUAAAAGAAUAUGUACAAAUAAUCUCUGGGUUCCUUACAAAUAACUCUUGUUGCCAUGAUAAUACUUUUUUUUUUAAAUCCUGUCUCUGCCCAGCUGGUUAUUUUUUGAGAUUACUUGUUUGAGUUGAUGUUAGAGAUAGGAGAAAAUGUAGACUUAAAAUUCUUUUCUUCCCUUCCUCCCUCCCUGCCUCUCUUCCUUACUUCCUUUUUUCCUGGUAAUUGUGUAAAUUGAGCACAUCCCCAUGCAUUAAAGAGGGGAAAGACCAGCAGUCCAGUAUACAACUGUCACUGUAGAGAGAACUUAAGAGUUCUGGCUAGGAAAAGACUGCAAGCUGUGCUUCUCUGGCUAGGACUCAGACACAGGUCCCAGAGUCUUGUGGCCUAAGCACCACUAGCAUGCUUCAUGAGGGGCUUCCCCUGCAAGUUAAUAAACUCACUGCAGGCAAACAACAACAGCAACAACAAUAACAACUAGCCUUGAAAAUGUGGGCCAGGCACAACUAGCCUUGAAAAUGUGGGCCAGGCACUGCAAUGCACAUGUUGAAUCCCAGCAUUCAGGAGGUGCAAAGGCAUCAGAUCUCUUCAAGACCAGACUGGUCUACAAAGCUAGUUCCUGGCCAGCUAGGGCUAUAUAGUGAAACCUUUUCU
rnacentral:lncRNA from 1 species